CAACCUGAACUCAGUCGUGAUUACCCGCUGAACUUAAGCAUAUCAUUUAGCGGAGGAAAAGAAACUAAAAAGGAUUCCCCUAGUAACGGCGAGUGAAACGGGAAGAGCCCAGCGCCGAAUCGAUCAGUCUUUGGCUGCUUCGAAAUGUGGCGUAUAGGUGUAGUCUUCCAGCAGUGUCGUAUGUCCGAAGUCCUUGCGAUUGAGGCCAUAAACCAGAGAGGGUGCGAGCCCCGUUCUGGAUAGCGGCGCUGUUGGUUCGACUGCUCCUUGG
rfam:Caenorhabditis japonica strain DF5081 Contig15989.1, whole genome shotgun sequence.